AUUGAACGCUGGCGGCAGGCCUAACACAUGCAAGUCGAGCGGAUGAAGGGAGCUUGCUCCUGGUUUCAGCGGCGGACGGGUGAGUAAUGCCUAGGAAUCUGCCUGGUAGUGGGGGAUAACGUCCGCAAACGGGUGCUAAUACCGCAUACGUCCUGAGGGUGCAAGUUGGGGAUCUUCGGACCUCUCGCUCUCAGAUGAGCCUAGGUCGGAUUAGCUAGUUGGUUGGGUAAAGGGCUACCUAGCCGACGAUCCGUGAAUGGACUGCGAGGAUGAUAAGUCACACGAGAACUGAGACAGGGACAAGGCUACUACGGGAGGCAGCAGAGGGGAAUAGUAGACAGUGGGCGAGAGCAUGAUCCAGUCAGGCCACGUGUGUGAAGAAGGUGUUCGGAGUGGGAAGAACGUUAAGGGGGGAGAAAGGGCAGUAAGUUAAGACCUAGCUGGAGUGACGGUAACAGCAGAAGAAGCACCGGCUAACUACGUG
rnacentral:rRNA from 1 species